ACGUAAUUUUCUUUCAUUUUCGAUCAGGAAGUACAAAUUUGAAGUAUCUUUUCAACAUCACAGGGCGCGCUUGAUUUUACCAAAAGGUGUACACCGUGUACACUUUUGUAAAUCAAGUGCAAAAAAAUAUCGCCUAAAGAUAUGCAGAUAUAAGGAAAAACCUGAAAAAAAUAUUCCCAUGAAACGUAAGAAUUUCAAAUACGUUGACCCUCAACUAUACCUUACUGACUUGCAAGAUAUUUAUAACAACAGGUGCGUACCAAAAAGUAUGGAACACCUGGACUCCUUCGUAAAGGCACGAAAUUUUUAUGACGAAACAUGGGCACCCGAGCGUAGAGAAGUUCUUAACGAAUUGGAAAUCAUCAGGGAUGAAAUUCAACGACAAGCAAAGAUUCACUCCAUUGGAUCCAUCACUUACUCCAGUGUAGGGCUUAUCGGGGGAGGAUUAGCCAUUGCAGGGAUAAUCACAGCUCCAUUUACAUUCGGGGCUUCCCUUGGAUUAACCGUGGCUGGUAUUGCAACGGGAGUGACGUCCGGCGUAGCGGGCGUUACUCACGGAGCUGUCAAAUUUGGAAUAGUUAAAAAACAUAUUAACAAUGCCAAAACGAAUUUAGAGAAACAUGAAAAGUCAGGUAAAGAAAUGAAGAGUUUGUUAAAACUGCUUAAACAGGACAUUGAAACAAUAGAAGCAAACAUUCAGGAUUGCAAAGAGUUAAAAGCUUCUUAUUUAGGCGAAAGUCUUAUAGGAAUCGGGGGUGCUACGGGAGUCGCCACAGGAAUUGUAAAUUUGGUGAAUAACUCAAAAGCAGUCGAUGUGUACAGAAUUACAGGAAACGUUGAUGAGGUUGCUAGGGUGUUGAGCAUUGGAACAGCCUUAGACGACAUAGUUCCAUCGGCACUCAAGGAUGUCUCAAAAGGGGUUACCAAAUUAUCUACAGAGGCUUUGAGCGUUCUGGCAGCUAUCGGAAUUGUAAUCGACCUGGGGUCCUUGAUUUGGAACGCAGUCGACUUGUCCAAAUUCAAUAAAGGGCAACUGUGCUCCGAGGCAGAGAAACUUCAGAAGGUCAUCGAACAAAUGCAACACGAGUAUGAUGUCUUAACAAAAUGCUUCUCAUAAAACAAAAAUAGCAAAAAAUAGUGAAAUGAAAAAAGUUUCUUAGACCAAAUUAAAGCGAAUAUAAUAGUAUAUAAAUUGAACAAACGAAUGUUUUGAACAUAAUGAAACAUUAACUAGUAGAAAGUGGUCAAGGGAAAGACAAGUAAUUUACCGAUAACUGAAUCUGCGUUUUCUUAUUUCAUUAUUGAUUUUUCGAAAAAUGCAUACCUUUUAAAGUUAUCUCAAUAAAUUGACAUUCUAUG
rnacentral:sRNA from 1 species